AUUAAAAUAAAUUGGAAAUCAGAUAUUUUGAGAAAAAACGUUCUCACCCUCUCUCCCUAAUCAUUGUCUUCCUCCUCUCUCAAACUCUCUCAGCGUUCAAUCUCUCAAUCUCUCUAAAUCUAAACCUCAAACCUCUCGUCACCUCUCAAUCUCUCACCAUACGUGCAAAAGUCCAUGGUAUUUAAGAGAUUCAAACAGAUAAAGCUUACCUUCGGUGGUGGUGAUGGUGACGGUGAGGCUUGGAUCUGCCUUCUUUACCUCAAAGCUUUCCUUUGAAGUUCUUCUCCUUCGCCGUUUCCGAAUUAGGGUUUUCGUCUCCUCAGAUUUUAGGGUUUUUUUCGUGGGUUCCGCCUCCCUCUAUAGUACCCGUUUCGCUCCUAUUUAUCCCCACAACUUAGGGUUUCAGAUUGCUAUAUGGAGAUUCAAAAGAGUAUCUCUGCGAAAUCUCUUUAGGGUUGUCAGAUUUUGGUUGCCCUAUUUGAUGUUUGGAUUCGGAAAAGUGAAGAUUGGUUAAAAUUCAUGAGUAGCUUCGAUUUUCUCAUGGCCUUGGUGUGGUUUUUGGUUGACUGUUUUGGUCAUGACUUGGAUUUUGUUUGCAUCAUCAUGUCAUUUUUCUUGGUCAUAUAUGGUUGGAUUUGUUAGCAUCACUAACAUGUUUGAUUAUUGUAAAUGCAGGACUAGUUUGUAUUUGUUGGUUAGGGCAAUAUGGUGUACUGCAGGAUCACAACAGGUCUGUCUUUGUUUUGGUAUUUCAGCAAGUCAUGUUGUUGUGCAGGUUCAUAUACUGCCUUAGGUUUGCUGCAAGUUACUUGAUGAACAUUUGUAUGCAGUUGUGUAAUACCAGGUGUAUUCAUGCCAUGUCUGUUAUUCUAAGCCUACUGUUGCAUCAGGAUGAGGCAUUCAUCCUACUAUCAUCCACUGCAGUAGGGUUACAUUGGUGUGAUCAAUUCUUUACAAAUCACUUGGUUCAAUCCUUUAGUUGUAGGUCUGGAAAUCAUGUUGUUUGGAAAAGGUGUGCACAAUGUGGAUACAGGAACAUUUGGUGAAAGAAACCUCUGCUGCACACGACUCCUUCUGCACUCUUCCAUGCUAGCUACAAGAUGUUGGUGGUUGCAUUUGGUACUAAUGGAUGCAGGACUAAUCCAUGGCCAUUUGCUGCAUGAUAAUGAUGGUGUGAUGUUGUUGCAAAGCAAGAUGACAUAAGCUGCGACAACAAUAAUGGUUAAACUGUCAUGGAGCUCCUUGACCAAUGGUUAGGUCAGGCUGAAGGCAAAUGGCUAAGAAUUCGUGGCCAAUACAACAUGGUUUGCAUCAUGGUGCUUGCUUGCUCGAGUUUGUGUACUGCAAAAAUUGUUGUUGAACUGUCACUGCUGGUGAAAUAGGAUAUUACUUUUAGCCUUCUUAGACAUCCCAUGAAGUGGUUUGGUUCAUUGGUUUUUUAUACUUUGGGCGCAGGUUAACCGCUUGGAUGCGAGUUGCUUAGUUCAGGGCUUGCUUGGAAUCUUGGAUGGUAAAAUGCAAUGGAGCUGUUUCGGACUUUGUCGCAUUGGCUCAUGUUGUGUAAUAGUAGAAAUGUAUGAGAUUAUUGAAUUUGAAGUGUGAUGAAAUGGUUGUAAUGGUUAUGUAGUUUAUGAAAUGUAUGUGGUAAUGUUACCUUGUAACCUUGGAUUAGAAAUUGCAGUGGUUGUAUAAUGGUAUUGGUUUAGAAAUGACCAUGUAAUUAGGUUUUGGCUGUAAUUUGAACUUGAUUGAAGUGAUUGUAAAGAAUAAGAAUGGUUGUAACUUGGUUUA